rnacentral:rRNA from 1 species
GACGAACGCUGGCGGCGUGCCUAAUACAUGCAAGUCGAACGCUUCUUUUUCCACCGGAGCUUGCUCCACCGGAAAAAGAAGAGUGGCGAACGGGUGAGUAACACGUGGGUAACCUGCCCAUUAGAAGGGGAUAACACUUGGAAACAGGUGCUAAUACCGUAUAACAAUCAAAACCGCAUGGUUUUGAUUUGAAAGGCGCUUUCGGGUGUCGCUGAUGGAUGGACCCGCGGUGCAUUAGCUAGUUGGUGAGGUAACGGCUCACCAAGGCCACGAUGCAUAGCCGACCUGAGAGGGUGAUCGGCCACAUUGGGACUGAGACACGGCCCAAACUCCUACGGGAGGCAGCAGUAGGGAAUCUUCGGCAAUGGACGAAAGUCUGACCGAGCAACGCCGCGUGAGUGAAGAAGGUUUUCGGAUCGUAAAACUCUGUUGUUAGAGAAGAACAAGGAUGAGAGUAACUGUUCAUCCCUUGACGGUAUCUAACCAGAAAGCCACGGCUAACUACGUGCCAGCAGCCGCGGUAAUACGUAGGUGGCAAGCGUUGUCCGGAUUUAUUGGGCGUAAAGCGAGCGCAGGCGGUUUCUUAAGUCUGAUGUGAAAGCCCCCGGCUCAACCGGGGAGGGUCAUUGGAAACUGGGAGACUUGAGUGCAGAAGAGGAGAGUGGAAUUCCAUGUGUAGCGGUGAAAUGCGUAGAUAUAUGGAGGAACACCAGUGGCGAAGGCGGCUCUCUGGUCUGUAACUGACGCUGAGGCUCGAAAGCGUGGGGAGCAAACAGG